UACGAGAGCCCCAAGCGUUAUCCGGAUUUAUUGGGCGUAAAGCGUACGUAGGCGGUCUAAAAAGUUGAUGGUUAAAUCUAUCGGCUCAACCGAUAAACCGCCAUCAAAACUAUUAGACUAGAGACUGGGAGAGGCCAGUGGAAUUGCCGGUGUAGGGGUAAAAUCCGUUAAUAUCGGCAGGAACACCAAAUGCGAAGGCAGCUGGCUGGAACAGAUCUGACGCUAAGGUACGAAAGCGUGGGUAGUGAAUGGGAUUAGAUACCCGCGUA
rnacentral:rRNA from 1 species